AGUGAACGCUGGCGGUAGGCCUAACACAUGCAAGUCGAACGGCAGCACAGGAGAGCUUGCUCUCUGGGUGGCGAGUGGCGGACGGGUGAGGAAUACAUCGGAAUCUACUUUUUCGUGGGGGAUAACGUAGGGAAACUUACGCUAAUACCGCAUACGACCUACGGGUGAAGGCAGGGGAUCUUCGGACCUUGCGCGAUUGAAUGAGCCGAUGUCGGAUUAGCUAGUUGGCGGGGUAAAGGCCCACCAAGGGGACGAUCCGUAGCUGGUCUGAGAGGAUGAUCAGCCACACUGGAACUGAGACACGGUCCAGACUCCUACGGGAGGCAGCAGUGGGGAAUAUUGGACAAUGGGCGCAAGCCUGAUCCAGCCAUACCGCGUGGGUGAAGAAGGCCUUCGGGUUGUAAAGCCCUUUUGUUGGGAAAGAAAUCCAGCUGGUUAAUACCCGGUUGGGAUGACGGUACCCAAAGAAUAAGCACCGGCUAACUUCGUGCCAGCAGCCGCAGUAA
rnacentral:rRNA from 1 species